GAAGACCCGGAGGAGCCGCGGGCUGCGGUGGGAGGGGCUGCGCGGCGGUUGAGACGGCGGCGGUGCCGGGAGGGGUCGGUGAGGGUCCCGAGGUGGCCCGAGCUGAGUGAGCCCGAUGCUUUUGGAAACGCCGGACGGGCGACCAGCGCAGCCGGGAGCCGGGCCCAGGCGCGGGGGGUCGGGCGCGGCUGCCCUUUGGAUGGAAGUUAAGGUUUCCUGCGAAGUCCACCCGGCGUUUCCGAGCCAAUAUGAAGGCAAAUCAUGUUCAGACCCAGGCAAAGGUUCCUGCUGACCCAGGCUCUCACCCGCACGUUGUCCUUUACUGUCCUCCUGAGGGUGUCUGGAGCUUCCGUGCUGUGUGCUCUCCACCUCCAUGCUGGGUCACCACCGACUCCUGCUGUCCAGGGCUUCCAGUGGACUCUCUGAGGCACUGAUGUGGAAUCUUCCCCAUUCGGUGCACCAAGAGCAGCCGCACACGGUGUGCGCUGACAUGAAGAGCUGCCAGAUCCAACAGUUAGCGUGUUCCUGUUAAUGGAAAAUAUUGGUGGUGUGAGUUCC